GUCUAUGGCCAUGCUACCUUGAACAAGUCCAAUCCUGUCUGAUCACGGAAGCUAAGCAGGGUCGGGCCUAGUUAAUACUUGGAUGGGAGACCAGGUGCUGUAUGCG
rnacentral:rRNA from 1 species